rnacentral:lncRNA from 1 species
AAACUCUGCCUAAGUCCUUUAGGGCUCUGUCUCUGUUUUGUUCCUCUUAAGGUUGUCACUUCUAUGCCUAAUGAUUAUCUCAUUGGUUCCAGGACAUUGUUACCAUUUACCUCCACUGGAUAUCUAUUUUCUUUCAAAAAGGUGGUUUUUAUUUUCUCUCACAAAGGUCCCAAUUUGGGCCCCGAGUCUGCUGGAGAAAAGAGAAAGGCUAAGAAGCAGCCUACCUUACCUGUGGCUCUGGGUCUGAGGAUGGCCAGGAGAACAGAGAGCAAAGCAGAGCCAAUGCAAGACCUCUGGCCCUGGAAGCCGAAGGGUCUCUCACAGGUCAACGCAGGAUCUACUCCAUCAUCAUCUUCACUAGCACACCCAGUUCGAUUGAGGAGCCUUGACGUGGGAUAUUGAUGGGAUAUUGAGAGAAAAGAGAAAUGGUGAAUCAAGCACUAAUCUCAAAGCUUCUGCACAGAACUACUUACAUGUCACUUCCUCCCAUGACUAUUCCUAAAUUCAGCCAAAAGGGGACACAUAAUCUCUUACGGGGGAGGGCACCACGGGGAGAGAAACCCGAAUAUUUGGUGAAUAGUAACACAAUCUACUUUGUUAUAGAAUCUGUCCUCAAUGGUCUUACAGUCUAAGAGCAUUACAUUUAGUUACGGUAGUCUUAAAUAUGAUACUAAAUGAAUUGAAUAGCCAGACAUCUGUGAAAGUAAAACUGUGAUAAUACAAAGUCAGUGUGCUUUUAAGUUUCAAUUGCUUAAAGUUAUUUGGAAGUAAGGAUCACAUGAGUUCAGAGCCCCAGGAUUCAAAAAUAACUCCGGAAUCUUUUAUCACUCCCCAAAGGAAAAGCAAUAAUAAGUAAGUUACCAGACAUUCAUGUAAUCUCUCUGAAACUGUAAGACUAACAAAGGAAAAUUUUCAAAAGGCAGAAAUACUUUAUUAUUUAUUUGCAAUAGAAAUUAUUCAGCCGGGCGCGGUGGCUCAUGCCUGUAAUCCCAGCACUUUGGGAGGCCGAGGCGAGUGGAUCACCUGAGGUCGGGAGUUCGAGACCAGCCUGACCAACAUGGAGAAACCCCGUCUCUACUAAAAAUACACAAUUAGCUGGGCAUGGUGGCACAUGCCUGCAAGCCCAGCUACUCAGGAGGCUAAGGCAGGAGCGACAGAGCGAGACUCCAUCUCAAAAAAAAAAGAAAGAAAGAAAGGAAAAAAAGAAAAGAAAAGAAACAAAGAAA